AAUUCAUGACUGAUUGGUUGUUCUGAUUUUUCAUCUUCAUCAUUAAUCUAACUUAGUUUCAAUUACCAUUCUUAUAAUAUUUUCUCUUUCGUUGCAGAGAGGCAGUAUGUGUAUAUGAUAUUUACUUUGAGAAAAAGGUCUUACGACAUGGCAUGCAAAUGAGAGGCUGUGUAUAUAAAAUGGUUACUUUGAAGAAAGAUCUUUCGACAUGGUAUGCAAAUGGCGUUGAAUGUUUUGCACAGGACAGUUUCAAGCGGUUGGGAAAUUAUAAUUAAUAUUUUAGAUAGUUCAAGGCGCUUGAUAUUCAUCUGAUGAAAGGACAAUGAUGAAAUGGGAACUAAUAGCCAGAAUGUAUCUCGCAGUUAGUGAGUGAUGAGGCUGUUAUAGAUUGCCAUUUCAAGAAUUGCCAUGGAAGAAUUUGAUUUGCGCUUGUCUGGACAUUCGAGCAAGUACAUCAGUGUUCGUGAUGGAUAAGAACCCACACAAGAAAUCUAAUAUCUCUCUUCAAAACUUAAAUUUCCAUUAUUUUAGUAAAUUGCUCUAACCCAGGGGAGUACCUGAACAGAAAAGUAUUUGGUAACAGGUGGUUGAGGGAUGCGUUUCUUGUGGAACUUUUAAAGAGUCCCACUUGAAUCAGGCAAAACUUCCCGCUAAAUUCAACAAAAUAGCAUAAGUGGUUUAAAUUCCAUGGCAAAAAGAAAAAGCAAAUUUUGUUUUACUCAUGCUGAAUGUAAUAGUGUCCUGGGUAAAUAGAAAGCAUACUAAUGGGGGAUUUUGUUUCACGCCCGAAAAGUAGUGUUUUCUGACUUUAUUCACCUGAUCUUAUCGAAUUUGGAAUUUCAAGUUUUGAAGUUAGUGUUGAUGUCACCAGAUAGGAACUAUUUUACGGAAAACAUUCAAGAGUGAUUCUACAAAAAGGCAAUUGAAAGUAAUAAGGCUAUGAAGAAGAUGCUAUUGCUGACCAUAGAUAUGAGUAACUCUGCAGUUUUUAAGAUGUGAACAGCACAAUCAAUCAGCAGCAUCAAUAAGCAGAUCAAGAAAAUAAAGAUAAGGAGGAUUUCAUUGACUGGUUGGACAAAAACUAAGCUGAAAAAGGAAUCUAUUGCAAAUGCUGAUGAGAAUUUCCUUGAUUGGUUGGAUAAAAACUAAGCUGAAAAAGGAAUCUUGCAAAUGAUAUAUUUUGGAAGAAUUAUGUAGCUGUUAUUGGCGUCAGACAAUUUCAAGAUCCCUUUUUGGAAGUUUGUUACAAACUACUGCUCCUACAUGAUGUUAUUGAUGUUGAGGUUUAAUAUGUGUGAGUAGCCUCUGUGAAUCGAUAUAUGUAGAGCAUUUCCCGUUUGAUCAUCAGAGGGCACCGCAACCGGAUUUGAAAAGAUUGAAAUGAUCUGUUCCUAAGAGUACCGCAGUGACAGUUUUUCUGAAGACUCCCUGACAAUUUUUCCAAAAGAUUCAGUGGAUUUGAAUCAUAUGUGGCCCUCGGCAGAGAGAAUGGAAUUUUGGAUAGCUGUGAAGUGAGUAUAUAAAAUGAAAUAAUAUAGCGCUGGAAUAAUAAAGAUUUGAUUUAAAAA